rnacentral:rRNA from 1 species
UAAUACGAAGGGGGCUAGCGUUGUUCGGAAUUACUGGGCGUAAAGCGCGCGUAGGCGGUGCAUCAAGUCAGAGGUGAAAGCCCAGGGCUCAACCCUGGAACUGCCUUUGAGACUGGUGCGCUAGAGUACGGAAGAGGUGAGUGGAAUUCCCAGUGUAGAGGUGAAAUUCGUAGAUAUUGGGAAGAACACCAGUGGCGAAGGCGGCUCACUGGUCCGUAACUGACGCUGAGGUGCGAAAGCGUGGGGAGCGAACAGGAUUAGAUACCCUGGUAGUCCACGCCGUAAACGAUGAGUGCUAAGUGU